rnacentral:rRNA from 1 species
CCCUUAGAUGUUCUGGGCCGCACGCGCGCUACACUAUGCAUUCAACGAGUCUAAAACCUGCUCUGAUAGGGGUGGGUAAUCUUUUGAAUGUGCAUCGUGAUUGGGAUAGAUGAUUGCAAUUUUUCAUCUUCAACGAGGAAUGCCUAGUAAACGCAAGUCAUCAGCUUGCAUUGAUUACGUCCCUGCCCUUUGUACACACCGCCCGUCGCUCCUACCGAUUGAAUGAUCCGAUGAAUAUCAUGGAUUGAGGAUGCAAGCAGGUUCGCCUGUCUUCAUCUUCGAGAAGUGAAGUAAAUCUUAUCAUUUAGAGGAAGGAGAAGUCGUAACA